UUGGAGGGCAAGUCUGGUGCCAGCAGCCGCGGUAAUUCCAGCUCCAAUAGCGUAUAUUAAAGUUGUUGCAGUUAAAAAGCUCGUAGUUGAAUUUCGGGGUCAGUAGGCUGGUCGUGCCUCAGGUACGUACUGGUCUUACUGAUUCCUCCUUCCUGACGAACCGUAAUGCCAUUAAUUUGGUGUUGCGGGGAAUUUGGACUGUUACUUUGAAAAAAUUAGAGUGUUUAAAGCAGGCUAACGCUUGAAUACAUUAGCAUGGAAUAAUGAAAUAGGACGAUCGAUCCUAUUUUGUUGGUUUCUAGGAUUGACGUAAUGAUUAAUAGGGAUAGUUGGGGGCAUUAGUAUUCAAUUGUCAGAGGUGAAAUUCUUGGAUUUAUUGAAGACUAACUACUGCGAAAGCAUUUGCCAAGGAUGUUUUCAUUAAUCAAGAACGAAAGUUAGGGGAUCGAAGACGAUCAGAUACCGUCGUAGUCUUAACCAUAAACUAUGCCGACUAGGGAUCGGAUGAUGUUAAUUUUUUAAUGACUCAUUCGGCGCCUUACGGGAAA
rnacentral:rRNA from 1 species